rnacentral:rRNA from 1 species
GAUGAACGCUGGCGGCGUGCCUAACACAUGCAAGUCGAGCGAACGGACGAGAAGCUUGCUUCUCUGAUGUUAGCGGCGGACGGGUGAGUAACACGUGGAUAACCUACCUAUAAGACUGGGAUAACUUCGGGAAACCGGAGCUAAUACCGGAUAAUAUUUUGAACCGCAUGGUUCAAAAGUGAAAGACGGUGUUGCUGUCACUUAUAGAUGGAUCAGCGCUGCAUUAGCUAGUUGGUAAGGUAACGGCUUACCAAGGCGACGAUGCAUAGCCGACCUGAGAGGGUGAUCGGCCACACUGGAACUGAGACACGGUCCAGACUCCUACGGGAGGCAGCAGUAGGGAAUCUUCCGCAAUGGGCGAAAGCCUGACGGAGCAACGCCGCGUGAGUGAUGAAGGUCUUCGGAUCGUAAAACUCUGUUAUUAGGGAAGAACAUAUGUGUAAGUAACUGUGCACAUCUUGACGGUACCUAAUCAGAAAGCCACGGCUAACUACGUG